CUUCCCUGUCCCUCCCUGCCCCCUAGUUGGUGGGUGCGGGUGGAGGGUGAGGCCCUAGUUGGGCUCAGAGAUCCCGUCCCAGCUUAGGGAGGAGGGGCCUGUCCAGGGACCCUGAGUGUCAGGGACACGCCCUGUCCACCCUGGCCCCUCAGAAUUCUGUCAGCCCAUUUUGCCUUCCUUCUGUCUUGGCCCUGCUCUAGUUCUAUUUCUGUCACACACACACACACACACACACACACACGAACCCCCGCCCCAGCCGGCUUCCUGGGCUCUUCGAUGGCUCCACCCUCCCACCCCUCCCUCCUCUGCCCUUAAGUCCCUGACUCCCAGGGGAUGCUGAGUCUGGCCUGCUGUGCAGUGGACUGCUAGCUGGGGCUCUGCCGCAGGCUCUCAGGUGAGGGGCUCCGGGCGCCUGGGCUGAGGAAAGAGGGGAGACCUGCAGGCAGAACUCGCUCCAGGCUGGUGGGCGAGCCUGCUUCUCCAGAUCACUUUUCCUCACACCCUCCCUCCCACCGCGUUACAGUGGCAGAGCCUUGGAGCACCAUGGCUUCCGCUAAGGACAUCGACGAUUUCAUCAAUUCCCUCAAAGCCAAAUUGUUUCAAUUCGUGGAAUUGUUUUGUACAAACCUUCAAAAGAAGUCUAAAGAAGAGAGCAUAUGCAGUGCAGAUAUGGCUGACGCCGUGGAUGCUCAAGUUAACAACUCGGAAUCCUGUCCAUUGCUUCGUGAAACACUGCAGGAGUUGCGUCGCAGAGUCUGUGAGCCCUCUGGCUCCUACAGUCCCCCAGGCCGGAACCAGCCCUUUGACUCCUCCACUUCAAGGGAUUGGUAUGACUGGACACUUGAGCUAUUUAAAGAGCUCCUGCGGCGACUGCAGCAGAAGUUUCAGAAAGCCCUGGAGUGGCUUCAUCAGAUAGCGGCUGCCUGCCUACAGGGCUUGCGCAUAGCGGCUGAGGCCGUCUGGAGAGUGUUGAAUGAUUUUUGCUCCUCUCUGGAGCAGCUCUUCAGGAGCCUCAUCCAGGUCUAGAAGCCCCAAGGGGUCCCCAGGGAGCUUGGCCUCAUCUAGACGCCUCAAUUUCCCCUUCUCACAGGGCAUCUUCUGAUGCACCCUUUACCCUCCUGCUCACCCUUGACCCAUCCUCAUAGCCUGCCUCACCCCCUCCCCUUCAGGGAGGGCACCACCCAGCCCAUCUAACUCUCCCUGCCUGAAUUUUCCUGCACCAGGUCUGGCCUGCCUGUCACUGUAGUGCUGAUGUCCUAAUAAAAGUCAGUUGACCCAAAUGGAGUGUCUGUGUGGAUGAGAGGCUGGGGGUCGGAUGGCUACAGGCAGAGGUGGUGGGUCAGAUGGAUCCAGGUGGGGGUCCUGGUGCUGGAUGGAUAAGCAAAUGCCACUGGACUCUCUAAUCUGUAACUGGGAAUGAAGGAGGAAACAGACAGAACAGGCUCCAUCUUGCAAGCAGGACUCCAUCUUGGGUCAGACUGUGGACUUUGAGCUAUGUGCCCAGUAUCUAUGGAAACGAUGUACCAACUGGAAAACCCCCCACCGCCGAUGGAAGAGCCCCAGGGCUCGUACCUAGACUCUCCAUUGCCUAAAAGAAUUCCCUAAUUAUCUGGGUAACCAAAUAGAAUCAUGAAUUCUAUUAUGCUUAUUGGGAUAUGACCACAGGCUUAUUGAUAAUUGUCCACUGUUAACUACUUAGCUCAAGGCAUAUGAUCACAGGUUAACUUUGAUUGUAUCUUUCUUUUUCCUUUAUUUCAGACUAGUUUCAGAGAAUUUGGGGAGGUGGGUUUGAGCAUGUACAUUUAGGGUAUAUAAGGGGUCCUUGGCUAAGAGGAGACUCUACCUCAGGCCCCCUGGUGUAAUAAACUGCACUCCACUAUCUGCAUUGUCUUUCUGAGUGAGUUUGUUUCCCAGAACGCGUGGCUACAACAGGAACACUGGUCGUGGACUGACUGGCGGGGAGGACUGGACCAUCACACUCCUAGGGCCCAGGGAGCUCGGGGGAGGGGCUUUGACCCCUCUUGUCUUCUCCUGACC
ensembl:lncRNA